UGUUAUGUCCUCUUGGCUUUCAUUUUCCUUCUUCUACUAACCUUUCCGUUUCUGAGAACGUGCAGAGCGGAUCUCUCUUCACAGUGGUGAUUUGUAGCAGGAUUGGUUUUCUUGUCGGGUGCCUCCGGGCUGUGUUUCUUUCCGCUAAUUGUGGUUAAAUUUUGGGCUUUGCAUGUCCUAUUUGGGUUUGAAAUUCAGGAUCUUCUGAGUACUUUCUGUUUGAAAAUAUUCCUCAGAUACCAAAAGUUUCCUGUUGUUAUACUACAGCUAUUUCUUUUCCUUUUUUUUUUUUUUUUUAGCUCCCAUCUAAUUUCACACUUUCAAUUGUGUUAAUCCUUAGCCUUUAAAAAGUUACGUCAGCCUUUGUCAGUGCUUAAUAAAUGCACACCAUUGUGUAUGUAUCCCCAGUCAUAGAGACACUUUGUAGCUUAGAUUAUAGGGGAAGCUACAGAAAAUUUAUUUUGUUCUGAAAUUGUCACUGUUUCUUGUAAGUGAAACAUUUUAAGAGCAAUGCAUGUUCUUGCUUUUUUUUUUUUAAACUGAGUUUUAUGACACUUCUGCCUGCCUGGGAGGCGGGUGUUUCUUUCUGCACAGGCCCUGUGGGUGUGUGACCUGGCUGUCCCCGAGCACGUCCCUCUCUGGCACUGGGCCCGAGCUGUUGUCCUUCAGAUGCUUUCCGCACUCCUGCCGGAUCUGCCGUCCUCUCCAGUCCCGCCUGGGGAGGAGACAGAGACAGAGGUGUGGACGCAGGCCUUCCUCCCCCGUUUCUGCACGAUGUGUUGCAUUGUCAGGCUGCGCCUGCUCGAAGUUGGGAACUGAGCUUUGUGCCUCUGUGAGCUUACCUCACACCUAGCAGAGGUCCUUCUACAGAGCGGCCUCUCAAGGGAUCAUCCAGAUUUAUCGUAUUGUUUUUGUUUUCCUGAAAGCAGUUUAUUUAAUAAAUGGGAAGAGGGGUCCCCAAGCCCCUUGGGGUGGCCUGUAAGAGUUCUGAGAUGUGGCUUUCCUUCUCGCUGUGCUGACGUGUCUGCUGGUGGGGGGGAGCUACAGUGGUGAUAGUGUGGGUGCCCCAGCCGGCAACAGGCCUGAUGCCACACUGCACAGCCCCGGGCUUCCUCCCCGCCAGGCAUUGCACGGAAGAGCCAGUUUCAGUUAGGAAUAUUCUUGAUGAGGCAGGGCGAUUGUUACUUCUGUGCGGUGUCUAAGUCUCUACCCUGGAGGUGCAGUCUUUUGAAUAUUCUGAGUGAAGAAGGGGACAUGCACAUAACGCACUUCUGCAGACGGAAGUACCAUGAUCGGCUCAGCGAGCCAGUUGCCAGCUGAACUAACCACUGUUUUCAAGGGACACCAUUCUUACCGGAAAGAACGACUUACAGAUAAACUGUGGUUUUUCAGACUUGAGUACCUGCCAGAUAUUUCCUUUAGAAGGAAGUUGGGCUGUCACUUUAAGGAAGACAACUGCCAGUGAUGACAUUUCAGCUUUCAAGUGGAAAUUGGCGUUCUGGAGCAUGUGCGUCCCCCACUUGGUGUCUGCUGACGCGUGUCACCUUGGGAAGCCCUCACAGAAGCAGCUCUUUCCCAGGACGAGUUCUGACGUCGCAGACACAGUGCGGGGCUGUGGUGUGGUCAAGGGCACGGCCAAGUGCACGGAGCUCGCCCAGGACAGCGUCCCACCUGCGGUCGCCACGCUGCCCCGGCCUGGCUUCCGCGUAGCGUCAGACGAGCACGCCCACAGCUGUCCCGGAGCCGUGGAGAUGCUCCCCCCAUUCCAGCCGCGUCUCUGCGAGGUGGUUUCCUGCGUCGCUGCCACCCAAACACCUGUCACAACACGCGGAUCUCGGAAGCAGAGGUGACAGCUCCCCUCCUGUGUGAUGCCGCAGGGGUUUGCAGGCAGCUCCUCCUUCCACCGGCUGUUUUCGGUUUUGGAAAAGGCGCUUCUUUUUUCCUAAGGAGAGGCGAUCUGUGUUAACACUCAAUGAUGUUCAUCAUUAUUUUUAAAUGAAUUAGGCAAAACUUCAGGGAAGACAGUGGACCCACGUGGAUCUUUAGAAAGCUGCUUCUGAACCCAAGCUGUCAAAAUGAAUAUAGUCACAUUGAAGAUAAAUAACAACGUUCAAAGUGCCAAGCAGUAAAGAAAACAAACAGGAAGAGCAGGGAGAAAUCUGAGAGCACAGAAGAAAAUCCAUCCAACAAGAAGUUUAGAUAGAAACACUCUCAGUAAAUGAACAUUUUCUCCAUUUUGUAAAAGUGAGAAUUUGCAGUGCUCCUAGAAACUUUCAGCACAGCCCCCCUGGACUUCAUGGGCCCAUGACAGUGUGCUGGGGGCCGGUGGUUUGUUGGUAAAGGACCCGACUGAAUGUUUCUUUUCUUUUAAUGUUAUUGAAGUCUAGUUGAUUUACAGUGUUGUGUUAAUUUCUUCUGUGCAGCAAAGUGACUCAGUUAUACAUAUAUAUAUUCUUUUUUACAUUCUUUCCCAUUAUGGUUUGUCACAGGAUAUUGAAUAUAGUUCCGUGUGCUAUACGGUAGGACCUUGUUUAUCCACCUUAUAUAUAUUAGUUUGCCUGAAUGUUUCUUAAAAGCACCUACUAUUUAAGAUAUUACUCAAUAUUUUCCCAAAGUUAAUGUGAUGUCAAUCCUCUUUAAGAUUGCCUCUAAACCUAGAAAAAUGUUACCAAAUUUUGUGAAACUGAAAGUGCCUUAAAUUCUAGAACCUGCUGGAGACAACAAUGAAACAAAAAUUAUAUGCAAAUUGUACUUAUGAACAGAGAUGUAAAACCCUACACAGAAUAUUGGGGAAAAGAAUAUGAUGUAAAACCCUAUACAGAAUAUUGGGGAAAAGAAUAUGAGAGCACAUUCUGUAGUUAUUCCUUAGCAAGGGUUCUGUUGCAAGAGCUUUGUUACACAGGGAAAGUACAGAAUUCAUGGAAAUAUGGGAAAAUGUUUUUUAAAAAAUAAAAAAGAUGAGAUAAAUAAGUACUCCAGUUUUCAUAGUGAAUACAAAAAUAAAUCCCCAAAUUGGGAGGAAAUAAGCAGUUUGUAUAAAUAGUUAAGGAUUAUUUGAAAGCAGAAGCAAGGCUUUUUCAUGGUGGGAAACUCUAGAGGACCUUGUCCUAACAAGAGCGGGUUACUCAGCCAUCUAUUCAAUACAGUAGAGAUGUUGACAAUUUCAAUAAGAUGUGAAAACCAAAAGAGAUGAACAGAAAACCCCCAAAGACUCAGUGCAUUCAUGGAUUAUAAGAAACCCACUAUAAUCAGUCUAUUUUGUAUUUGCCAAUAAUUAAAAGUUCGAUAACAAAGUGGAUAGUUUUGAUUACAUAAAAUUCCAGAUUUCUGCAUAGCAAAAGGGUCUCAAAAAUUACAUUUCCUUAUUUCCAUAUUUAGUCCAUUUGGGCCUACCCAUAUCGUCUGUCAGGGGCUGGUGGGGUUCAGCAUUCCAUUCUCUGUAAUUCCCUCCAAAUUUAUUUUUUGUGUUGAUUUAUCACUUUCUAGCCCACUUCAGUUGUACCUUUAACAUUUUUUCCACACAUGUUUAUUUUAAAUUUUAAUUAUGAAACAUUUUCCCUACUAAAGAAUGUAAUGAGCGUCAUUUAAAGGAGAAAAUAGAGCCAAGAGCAGUGGGCUGACUCCCCUCUGCAAGGUAGAGGUCAUUAUCAGGGCUUUUACAUGUUUGCUUAUCAUUCCUUGGCUUCAAAAAAAAUGUAUAUGUACGUGUGCCUCAACAAUAUGACUUUAGUUUUAUUACAUGUUUUUUGAACUUGAUGUAAAUGGAAUCAUACUGUAUGCUUUAUGAUUUUUUUAAACAAAACUGUUUUGGAGACUGA